UACGGAGGGGGCUAGCGUUGUUCGGAAUUACUGGGCGUAAAGCGCGCGUAGGCGGACCUGCAAGUCGGGGGUGAAAGCCUGUGGCUCAACCACAGAAUUGCCUUCGAUACUGUAGAGCUUGAGACCGGAAGAGGUAAGUGGAACUGCGAGUGUAGAGGUGAAAUUCGUAGAUAUUCGCAAGAACACCAGUGGCGAAGGCGGCUUACUGGUCCGGUUCUGACGCUGAGGCGCGAAAGCGUGGGGAGCAAACAGG
rnacentral:rRNA from 1 species